UGUAGGCUGAAACUCGCCUACAUGAAGCUGGAGUUACUAGUAAUCGCGAAUCAGAAUGUCGCGGUGAAUACGUUCCCGGGUCUUGUACACACCGCCCGUCACACCAUGAGAGUUGGCAAUACCCGAAGUCCGUGAGCUAACCGCAAGGAGGCAGCGGCCGAAGGUAGGGUCAGCGAUUGGGGUGAAGUCGUAACAAGGUAGCCGUAGGAGAACCUGCGGCUGGAU
rnacentral:rRNA from 1 species